rnacentral:rRNA from 1 species
ACAAAAAUGCACAUAUUGUGAGCUUGAUGAGUAGGGCGGGACACGUGGUAUCCUGUCUGAAUAUGGGGGGACCAUCCUCCAAGGCUAAAUACUCCUGACUGACCGAUAGUGAACCAGUACCGUGAGGGAAAGGCGAAAAGAACCCCGGCGAGGGGAGUGAAAAAGAACCUGAAACCGUGUACGUACAAGCAGUGGGAGCACGCUUAGGCGUGUGACUGCGUACCUUUUGUAUAAUGGGUCAGCGACUUAUAUUCUGUAGCAAGGUUAACCGAAUAGGGGAGCCGAAGGGAAACCGAGUCUUAACUGGGCGUUAAGUUGCAGGGUAUAGACCCGAAACCCGGUGAUCUAGCCAUGGGCAGGUUGAAGGUUGGGUAACACUAACUGGAGGACCGAACCGACUAAUGUUGAAAAAUUAGCGGAUGACUUGUGGCUGGGGGUGAAAGGCCAAUCAAACCGGGAGAUAGCUGGUUCUCCCCGAAAGCUAUUUAGGUAGCGCCUCGUGAAUUCAUCUCCGGGGGUAGAGCACUGUUUCGGCA